GAGUUUGAUCCUGGCUCAGAAUCAACGCUGGCGGCGUGCCUAACACAUGCAAGUCGCACGAGAAAGGGGCUUCGGCCCUGAGUACAGUGGCGCACGGGUGAGUAACACGUGAAUCAUCUACCUCCGAGUGGGGAAUAACCUAGGGAAACCUGGGCUAAUACCGCAUAACACUUACGAGUCAAAGCAGCAAUGCGCUUGGAGAGGAGUUCGCGGCAGAUUAGCUAGUUGGUGAGGUAAUGGCUCACCAAGGCGAUGAUCUGUAUCCGGCCUGAGAGGGCGCACGGACACACUGGAACUGAAACACGGUCCAGACUCCUACGGGAGGCAGCAGUGGGGAAUUUUGCGCAAUGGGGGAAACCCUGACGCAGCAACGCCGCGUGGAGGAUGAAAUCCCUUGGGAUGUAAACUCCUUUCGAUCGGGACGAUUAUGACGGUACCGGAAGAAGAAGCCCCGGCUAACUUCGUACCAGCAGCCGCGGUAAUACG
rnacentral:rRNA from 1 species